UACUCGCUUUUGGGGUCUCACAAUUCGAUUAUGUUCAGUAUCAAACGUUGGAUCGUGGAGUUAGUGGUGGAACUGGUAGCUACCUUUGUGCAGGAUAAGAUCAGAUUUUAUGUUCCUGAAUUAUUCCAGACAUUACUCGAGAACCAAUGGAAGUUCACGGAUUGUUUAAAAAAGAUGUGCUGGCGUCUGUUGAAGAAGACCCUUAUUUAUGUCCUGAGCAAUCUUGCUUCCCUCAUACACAACCUGAAGGUCCGAGAAGUCUUCCUAAAUAUGCCAUGUUAUUCUGGACACAGGAGGAGGUUUGCUGAACCCACAGAGGUGAGAGAGACACAGCGAGAGAGGGAACACCAGCAGGGGAGUAGGGGAGGGAAAAGCAGGCGUCCCGCGGAGCAGGGAGCCCGAUUCGGGGCUCGAUCCCAGGACCCUGGGAGCAUGACCUGAGCUGAAGGCAGACGCUUAACGACUGAUCUACCCAGGCGCCCCACCGAUCAUCUUUCUUUCAGAAGAACUUCCACAAGCCUGCGGGUUUACCUUCAUCCACUGUAUCUCCUCCCCCGAUCAGAGCACAUUUACGGUUCCUCUUGAAUCUGUGUCUCCCAGAUUUCAAAAGAAGUUUUGUUUCGCUUUGCAGCCUCAGUUCUUUCUUUUUUGACACAAAGGAGCAAAUAAACUUCUUACCAACAAAUAGA